rnacentral:rRNA from 1 species
AUUAGACUACCCCGGUAGUCCCAGCCGUAAACUAUGCUCGCUAGGUGUCAGGCAUGGCGCGACCGUGUCUGGUGCCGCAGGGAAGCCGUGAAGCGAGCCACCUGGGAAGUACGGCCGCAAGGCUGAAACGUUAAAGGAAUUGGCGGGGGAGCACAACAACGGGUGGAGCCUGCGGUUUAAUUGGACUCAACGCCGGACAACUCACCGGGGACGACAGCAAUAUGUAGGCCAGGCUGAAGACCUUGCCUGAAUCGCUG